rnacentral:rRNA from 1 species
CGGGGUGAGUAAUGUAUGGGGAUCUGCCUGAUGGCGGGGGAUAACUACUGGAAACGGUAGCUAAUACCGCAUAAUGUCUACGGACCAAAGCGGGGGACCUCCGGGCCUCGCGCCAUCAGAUGAACCCAUAUGGGAUUAGCUAGUAGGUAAGGUAACGGCUUACCUAGGCGACGAUCCCUAGCUGGUCUGAGAGGAUGAUCAGCCACACUGGGACUGAGACACGGCCCAG